AGCAAUACCACCUAGGGAUAGGGGUAGGACGAUCAAUUGCUUUUAACUUCUGCUCUAUAAUGCUAUAUUAAUUGCUAGGGGAGGUUAGGGAUAGCAAGCCAGUAAUUAGUAUUAGGCUCUUUUCGUCGAGGGAUCGGGUUAAGGGUAGGCUAAGAAAGUUGCAUGACAAUUAACUAAUCAAGCUAAUAAUUCAAGAGGAGUAAAUAGGAGAGAGCGGAUAAGAGGAAAUAGUAAACCCCCAACAACUCCAUUCAUCCAUCCAUUUUUGUGUUUAACCUUAAUUGAUCAUUUUGCAUUCAUGUUUAUUUUUCCACACUUUAUAUUGAAAAAUCCCAAAAUAUUAUUUUUAUAGUCUUGAUUGGUUAAGCAAAAGCACAACAGUUUAGUAUCGUGAGUCUCUUGGGAAAACGAUACUUGGACUUACCAUUUUAUUAUUACUUGAACGAUUUGGUACGCUUGCCAAUCUGUUAACAAGUUUUUGGCGCCGUUGUCGGGGACUCAUGGUAGAACUAUUCUAUGUGUGCGAUUCUUGAUCGAUUAGACUUUCUUUUUAUUUUAUUUGUCUUAUUUGAUUUGAUUUGAUUUUAUCUUAUUUUGUUUUAUUUGAUUUGGUUUUAUUUGAUUUUAUUUUAUUUGAUUUGAUUUGGUUUUAUUUGAUUUUAUUUUAUUUGAUUUGAUUUUAUUUUAUUUUUAUUUUUAUUUAUCUUUCUGUUUUUAUUUAUAUUUGAAAAAAAAAUUAAAAGAAAAAUAAAAUUAAAAAUUAUCUUUUACUAUUUUUAUAUAAUUUUAUUUAUUUUUUUUGGGCUAAUUUUAUGCUCUAGUACAAUGUUCUUUAGUGUAUGCAGGAUAAAAUUUUUGGUACUUGGAGCACAAGAACAUCAGGAGGCAGAUAAGUAAGGAGAAUUGGUUCACCAACACCCUGAUGUGAAAAGUGACGAACCCUAACCUGGCACAUCAAUGAAAGUCAAAAUUAGGUUAUGGGUUGUCAAGACUAUUAAAGCAAACAGAGCUCUUACAGUUGGUGACAAAGGAAAUUUCUGAGAUGAUGUUGGUGUCAUGAAGGAAAGAGGAACACCAACAUAAAAUUUCAACACCUACUGAUGGGUGUUUGGGCUUUACCGGGUCAAGCUAAUGACGUUAAAGAAGCGCUACCUGGGAGGCAACCUAGUUUCUAACCCCGUUUCUAAAUCUUUUUCUUUUCUUUUAUUUUAUUUAUUAGAUUUUAUUUUAUUUUAUUUUAUUUUGUUAGGGUUAUGUGUUGCUUCUGACGGCAGUGAUGAUAGCAUCUACUGAUGGAUGCUUCUACAACAUCUACUGAUGGAUGUUAGGUGAUUUGGCAUUUACUGAUGGAUGCCAAUGAAGAUUAGAAAGAUUAGCAUUUACUGAUGAAUGCUACUGGGAUAGCAUCUACUGAGGGAUGCUAGAAGAUUUAGGUAUCUACUGAAGGAUACAUGGAGGUACACCUACUGAUGGGUGUUGGAAAGGUAUGCACUUACUGAUGAGUGCUAAACAGGUUUGGGUCAGGCUCGUGACGUUAAACAAGCGUUACUAGGAGGCAACCUAGGUGCCCACUUACUUUUGCAUUUUGAAUUCUUAGAAUAGGUUGAAUUUUUAUUUUCAAUGUGUAUGCUUAGCUUGAACACUUUUCUGAAAAUGUUUGACUGAAUAAUUUGCAUGAUGAGCCUAUUUGAUGAUUAUUUGAUGUGGAUGACGAUUGAGUUGUGUUGCAUGUGAAUAUCCAGUGAAAUAGAUGUGGGAUAAAUUAUGAUUGUGGUUGUGAUGCUAAGCAGGGUGUAUGAAUGAAUAUUGUGUGAGAAAACAUGUUUUGUGAGGUAUUGAGCUCCAGAGUUUUUAUUGUUGUAUGCAUUGUUCACAGGAAAGCAUGAAUGAUAUUGCUUUAAUCUCAAUGAUCGAUUGAAUUGCAUGUGAAUGUCAUAUGAUCAAGGCCAUUUUUGAGAACCUUUCUCUAGC
rnacentral:lncRNA from 1 species